rfam:Trichobilharzia regenti genome assembly, scaffold: TRE_scaffold0039857
AUCCAGCUGACUAGUCCCAAAUAGGACGAAAUGCGCAUCCUGGAU